CGAAGGGUGCAAGCGUUGUUCGGAAUUAUUGGGCGUAAAGCGCACGUAGGCGGCCUUGUAAGUCUCACUGUGAAAGUCCGGGGCUCAACCCCGGGAUGCCAGGGGGAUACUGCGAGGCUGGAGACAAGCAGAGGUUGGUAGAACUCCGGGUGUAGCGGUGGAAUGCGUAGAGAUCCGGAGGAAUACCAGAGGCGAAGGCGGCCAACUGGGCUUGUUCUGACGCUGAGGUGCGAAAGCGUGGGGAGCGAACAGGAUUAGAUACCCUGGUAGUCCACGCCGUAAACGAUGGACACUAGAUGCCGGCGGGAACGACCCCAUCGGUGUCGAAGCUAACGCAUUAAGUGUCCCGCCUGGGGAGUACGGCCGCAAGGCUG
rnacentral:rRNA from 1 species